AUGAGUGUGGGGUUAGGAGUAAGAGAAGAGGCAGUAGGGGAACUAGAGCUGAGCUCUUUAGGCCCCCGCCAGGAGGACUACCCUGCAGAGGACAAGCACGGAUGCCUCCAGGGAAUCUCAACAACAGCCCCAUCUGUCUAUCCACUGGCUCCUGCAUGUCCAACUGGCUCCACAGUGACCCUGGGAUGCCUGGUCAAGGGCUAUUUCCCUGAGCCAGCGACCGUUACCUGGAACUCUGGAACCCUGGCCAGCAGCGUGCGCACCUUCCCAUCGGUCCUGCAUUCUGGGUUCUACUCCCACAGCAGCUCAGUGACUGUGUCCUCCAGCAUGUGGCCCAGCCAGACCGUCACCUGUAACGUUGCCCACCCAGCCAGCCGCACCACUUUGAGCAAGAAAAUUGAGCCCAUAACCCCACCACGUCCCCCGUGCCCACCUAACAUCGGUGGACCCUCUGUCUUCAUCUUCCCUCCAAAGCCCAAAGAGACACUCCUGAUCACCCUGAUCCCCAAGGUCACAUGUGUAGUGGUGGAUGUCAGCGAGGAAGAACCAGAUGUCCAGUUCAAGUGGUUUGUGAACAAUGUCGAAGUGUACACUGCUCAGACACAGUCUCCUGAGGUGCUGAACAACGCUACCCUCCGUGUGGUCAGUGUCCUCCCCAUCCAGCACAAUGACUGGCUGAGUGGCAAGGAGUUCAAAUGCAAGGUCAACAACAAAGGCCUCCCAGGCCCCACUGAGAGAAUCAUCUCAAAACCCAAAGGGCAACCCAGGGUACCUCAAGUGUACGCCAUACCUCCACCUCAAGAACAAAUGUCCAAGCAGAAGGUUAGUCUGACCUGCAUGGUCACAGACUUCUUCCCUGAAGCCAUCAGCGUGGAGUGGGAAAGGAACGGGCAGCUGGAAGAGAACUUCAAGAACACCCCACCCAUUCUGGACUCAGAUGGGUCCUACUUCCUCUACAGCAAGCUCACUGUGGACACAAGCACCUGGUCACGAGGAGAAACUUUUACCUGUUCUGUGAUACACGAGGCUCUGCAUAACCACCACACGCAGAAGAACCUCUCCCGCUCCCCUGAGCUGGUACUGGAUGAAGGUUGUCCUGAGGCCCAGGACGGGGAGCUGGAUGGGCUCUGGACGACCAUCAGCAUCUUCAUCACCCUCUUCCUGCUCAGCGUGUGCUACAGUGCCACUGUCACACUCUUCAAGGUGAAGUGGAUUGUCUCCUCGGUGGUGGGAGUGAAGCAGACAGUUGGCCGUGACUAUCGGAACAUGAUUGGACAGGGUGCCUAG